AAGAUAAUGGAAAAGAAAAGCUGCUGCUACUUGUGUUCUCAAAAGUCAGCCACAGGACCGGCAAUCGAAGGAGACGAGAGGAGAAGCCAACUCUCACUCGCUUCUUUCUCCGUCUGCGAUCGUUGCAGGGGGAAGUCGAGAGGCAAUGGUCUCUUCCAUGAAAAUCGUAUUCGGACUCCUAGCUUUUGUCACUGCUGGAAUGAUCGUAGGUGCUUUCUUUCAAUUAGCAUUUAUACUAAAGCUGGAAGACUCGUAUGGCACCGAGUUUCCAUCAUUUAAAAGAGUGAGAAAACUUCGAAGUGAUGCCUAUCUUCAGUUGCCAAGAGGAAUUUCUCAGUGGGAUAAUGACACAGAAGCGGCAGUUUUACGAAUUGGAUAUGUCAAACCUGAAAUUAUCAGCUGGUCACCGCGAAUUAUUGUACUCCAUGAUUUUUUGAGCUCAGAGGAAUGUGACUAUCUUAGAGCCCUAGCUAAACCUCGGCUUCGAAUUUCUACUGUGGUGGAUGUAAAAACAGGGAAGGGAAUAGAAAGCAAGGUAAGGACAAGUUCUGGAAUGUUUCUGAGCUCUGAAGAGAAAACGUAUGAAGUGGUACAGGCAAUUGAAAAAAGGAUUUCAGUCUAUUCUCAAGUGCCCAUUGAAAAUGGGGAGCUCAUCCAAGUUUUAAGGUAUGAAAAGAAUCAGUAUUACAAGCCCCAUCAUGACUACUUCUCUGAUACUUUUAACUUGAAGCGUGGUGGUCAGCGAGUAGCAACAAUGCUGAUGUACUUGAGUGACAAUGUUGAGGGGGGAGAAACAUAUUUCCCAAUGGCUGGUUCAGGUAAAUGCAGCUGUGGCGGAAAAGUUGUGGAUGGGUUAUGUGUAAAACCUAUCAAAGGAAAUGCAGUUCUUUUCUGGAGCAUGGGACUAGAUGGCCAGUCGGAUCCUAGCAGCAUACAUGGAGGAUGUGAGGUUCUGUCAGGGGUGAAGUGGUCAGCUACAAAAUGGAUGAGGCAAAGAGCUACUUUCUGAUUUUACAGUUAACCCUAGCUUAGCAGGAGAGUUGAGGCCUCCAAACUUCAAAACACGGCAACAGCUUAAUGGAAGGUAAAGGAAGGUCAAGGAGUUGCACCAGAAACGGGUGAAGGGGCAGGAUGUUGAGCGGCAAAAAUCAAACAGUACAAUUCUCACCUCUGCAGAAAGAAUAAGUUUUCAGACCCACAGGCUCUUCCAUGCGCACUGCUGAGAAAGCAUCCAAUAAUACAAUGGUGUUUUAUGCACUAUAAUAUUUCUUUUCAUGCUCUACUACAUGUAAAACAGUUUAACCUAACAAGCUUGAAAGUUCAGCAAGACUUUCCCAUGUGGGCUCAGCAGGGGAGAGAUUUUGCCAAUGAACAAGACCCUCCUUUUCUUCCCCUUUCUUAUGAGUUUCCAAAAUGGCUCGAGGGAUAGGGCGAGGUGCGGGUGUAGCAGGCGAGUCAGGCAGCGGAGGUGAGAUUUCCUCUUGAUUUACAAUUCUCGUUCUUAGGAGAGAAACAUGGAAACCCAGAUGUAAUUUGGAUUCUGGGGGUAACUCGAAUUUAUAUGCAACUGUGCCAAUCUUUGGAAAGGAUUUUCAAUGGGAAAAAGACAAUUUGGGACUGAACUUGAGGUUUUUCUGCUGUCCAUGGAAAGCUAGCGAUAUGGGCGUAGUUUUAGUUAGACAAAUUCACCUACUUAGAAACCCCCCUCUGUGUGCUUCUCAUCAUGAUAUUUCUUCAUCCUCUCCUGCACAAUCUUCAAGUUAGCUCUGAGAUCCUUAACCACCACAUUCCUUCC